CUACGGGGGGGCUGCAGUGAGGAAUAUUGCACAAUGGGGGGAACCCUGAUGCAGCAACGCCGCGUGGAGGAUGACGCAUUUCGGUGUGUAAACUCCUUUUAUAUGUCAAGAAAAUGACGGUAGCAUAUGAAUAAGCGCCGGCUAACUCCGUGCCAGCAGCCGCGGUAAUACGGAGGGCGCAAGCGUUACUCGGAAUCACUGGGCGUAAAGGACGCGUAGGCGGGUUGAAAAGUCAGGUGUGAAAGCCUACAGCUUAACUGUAGAACUGCACUUGAAACUCUCAAUCUAGAGUAUGGGAGGGGCAGAUGGAAUUAGUGGUGUAGGGGUAAAAUCCGUAGAUAUCACUAGGAAUACCUAAAGCGAAGGCGAUCUGCUGGAACAUUACUGACGCUAAGGCGUGAAAGCGUGGGGAGCAAACAGGAUUAAUACCCGAGUAGUC
rnacentral:rRNA from 1 species